AUGGGCAGUAGCACGAACGUUACUACAGAGAGCAGCCAUAGUCGCGGCAGGUGCAACAUCAGUGGCUUCCUGCUUGGCAAAUCCGGCGACUGCAACAGGGAUCACGGCUCGGUCUGCUGUAAAGACGGUCACCGCUACCCGCAAUUCAGGUGCUCGCCCCCGGUGCUCGCCCCGGUGUCGGCCAACACGCCGGCGAUCCUAACUCUGAACAGCUUCACACGAGGUGGAGACGGCGGCGGCAAAUCAUUCUGUGACAACCGCUUCCACAAGGACACCGAGUUGGUGGUGGCGCUGUCCACGGGGUGGCUGCGCCUUGACGGCAAGCGCAUGUGCAACAAGAUGAUCCGCAUCAACGGGAACGGGCGUGCCGUGUUGGCCAAGGUCAUCGACGAGUGUGACUCGGUCUACGGCUGCGACGCCGAGCACAACUUCGAGCCACCGUGCGCAUACAACGACGUAGACGCGUCACCGGCCGUGUGGAAGGCGCUGGGGCUCAAGGAGGAGACUGGAGUGUUCAAGAUCACUUGGUCUGAUGUGUGA
rnacentral:rRNA from 1 species